AGAAAGAAUUAACGGGUGCGCAUAAUCUUUGCAUCGCCAUCGAUGCAAUGCAUCAUGAAAAUGAUGUAUGAAGGAUGUAGCGGACUACCGCACUAGUUCGUGAUGAUCGUCAUGCAUAGUCGUGUAAAUUGUG
rnacentral:misc_RNA from 1 species